UAAUGCCAAUAAAAAGUCUAUCAACUAUACAAGAUGAUGUAAAAGUUGUGGAUUUUAUCACUUAAUAUUUCGCAUAAUUUUCAGUCAUCUGCAAAUAAUACAAAUUCCCAGUAUAUAUUAUAUAGUAAAUUAAUUAGUCUCGGUAGUUGAGGUUCAAUUUUAAUUAAAAUGCCUAAAAUAUUAAUAAAUUUAUUGCUCAACUGCCUGGAAUAAUAAAAUAAUUUAAUUCGAUACCCAAUAAUAAAUAAAUUAAUUAAUCCAGGUAGUCAAAGUUACUGUUUUAAUUAGAAUGUCUGAAAUGUUGAGAAAUCCAUGGCUCAACUGCCUGGAAUUAUACAGGAAGUUAAUUUAAACUCCAUUAAUAAAUAGAUUCAUUAUUCUAGACAGGUAAGGUUCAAUUUUAAUCCAAAUGCUUAAAAUCUAUGACGCUUAACUGCCUGGAAUCACAAAAUAAUUUAAUUUGAACUCUAUUAAUAAAUUAAUUAAUUAGUCUAGCCAGUUAGAGUUUAAUUUUAAUUAAAAUCACUAAAAUAUUAAUAAAUAUAUGGUUCAACUGCCUGGAAUAAUAAAAUAAUUUAAUUCGAUACCCAAUAAUGAAUAAAUUAAUUAAUCCAGGCAGUCAAAGUUACUGUUUUAAUUAGAAUGCCUGAAAUGUUGAGAAGUCCAUGGCUCAACUGCCUGGAAUUAUACAAUAAUUUAAUUUAAACUCCAUUAAUAAAUAGAUUCAUUAUUCUAGACUGUUAAGGUUCAAUUUGAAUUAAAAUGCCUAAAAUCUAUGACGCUCAACUGCCUGGAAUAAUAAAAUAAUUUUAUUUCAACCCCGAUAAUGAGUAAAUUAAUUAAUCCAGGUGUCAAAUCUUCUAUUUUAAUUAGUGAGUGCCUAAAAUAUUAACAACUACUUGGAAUAAUAAAAUAAUUUCAAUUUAAA